rnacentral:rRNA from 1 species
UACGUAGGGGGCAAGCGUUAUCCGGAUUUACUGGGUGUAAAGGGAGCGCAGACGGCGAUGCAAGCCAGGAAUGAAAGCCCGGGGCCCAACCCCGGGACUGCUCUUGGAACUGCGUGGCUGGAGUGCAGGAGGGGCAGGCGGAAUUCCUGGUGUAGCGGUGAAAUGCGUAGAUAUCAGGAGGAACACCGGUGGCGAAGGCGGCCUGCUGGACUGCAACUGACGUUGAGGCCCGAAAGCGUGGGGAGCAAACAGG